rnacentral:lncRNA from 1 species
GAAGGAGAGAGAAGGAGAGAGAAAGAGAAGGAGAGAGAGAGAAAGAGAAGGAGAGAGAAGGAAAGAGAGAGAAGGAGAGAGAGCGAUAGAAGGAGAGAGAGCGAUAGAGAGAGAGAGAGAGAGCAUAGAGAGAGAAGGAGAGAGAGAGAGAGAGAGAGAGAAGGAGCGAGAGAGAGAGAGAGAGAGAGAAGGAGAGCGAGAGAGAGAGAGAGAGAGAAGGAGAGCGAGAGAGAGAGAGAGAGAGAGAGAGAGAGCGAUAGAGAGAGAAGGAGCGAGAGAGAGAGAGAAGGAGAGCGAGAGAGAGAGAGAGAAAGAGAAGGAGAGAGAAGGAGAGAGAAGGAGAAGGAGAGAGAGAGAAAGAGAAGGA